CUCUGUUGCCUAGGCUAGAGUGCAGUGGUGAGAUCUCAGCUCACUGCAACCUCUGCCUCCCAGGCUCAACUGAUCCUCCAACCGCAGCCUCACGAGUAGCUGGGACUACGGGUGUGCAACACCACACCUGGCUAAUUUUUGAAUUUUUUGUAGAGAUGAGGUUUUGCCAUGUUGCCCAAGCUAGUCUCAAACUCCUGGGCUCAAGCCAUCCACAUGCUUUUGCCUCCCAAAGGGCUGGGAUUACAGGCAUAAGACACUGUGCCCAGCCACAAAGCAGCAAUUUAUCAUUAAAUGGAAAUGGUUAUAUGUGAUGGUUAAUUUUAAGUGUCAACUUGACUGGGCCACAAGGUGCCCAGAUACUUGGUUCAACAUUAUUCUGGGUGUGUCUGUGAGGGUGUUUCUGGAUGAGACUAACAUUAGAAUCAGUAGUCUGAAGCAGAUUAUCCUCCCCAUUAUAGGUGAGCCUCAUCCAAUCUAUUGAAGGUGUAAAUAGAACAAAAGGCUGAAUGAGAGAAAAUUCAUUCUCUCUGCCUGAUGGUAUUCAAACUGAGACAUUGGUAUUCUCCUGCCUUUGGACUUGAAUUGGAACUUAUGCCAUUAACUUGCUGGUAGUCAGGCCUGCAGACUGCAGGUUUUGGAACUUCUCUGCAGAUCUUGAGAAUUCCCAGCCUCCAAAAUCAUGUGAGCUAAUUUCUUAUAAUAAACAUAUAUCUAUAUCUAUAUUGGUUAUAUUAUAGAUGAAGAAGAGAUACAUGAAUGGAACACAGAAUGGAUACAGACUGUGAAAAAAUUAAUGUUCCAGGUGACUGUCCACCAAAAGCCUCUUUUCCUGGCACCCCCAGUGCUGCUCAGUUAGCCCUUGGACAAAGUGGCCAUUUUGGCAGGCAUGGAGCCUAUGCAUGAGCUCAACAACACAGAGUUUCCCUUACCAAGGCUGAUCUAAUUAAUGCUACCACUGAGUGCCUAAUAUGUCAAGAGCAGAAACCAACAUUGAGGCCCUGAUACACACUAUUCUCUGAGGGGACCACCUUCCCACUGGAUGCUUAAUGGCAGGUUAAUUACACUGGCCUUCCUCCAUCAUGGAGGGGGCAGAGGGUUUUUUGUUUCGUUUUGUUUUUGAGGCAGGGUCUUGCUCUGUCACUCAGGUUGGAGUGCAGUGGCACAAUCACACAAUUACAGCUCACUGCAACCUCUGUCUCCUGGGCUGAAGCAAUCCUCCCACCUCAGCCUCCCAAGUAGCUGAGAUUACAGGCAUGAACCACCACGCCCUGCCAAAAGAUACAUUCUGAAUAUGGAUUUGCUUUCCUUAUACACAAUGCGUUUACCAGGACCACCAUUUGUGGGCUUACAAAAUGCCUUAUCCAUAGUCAUGGCAUUCCCCAUAGCAUUGUGUCUAAUCAAGGAACUUAUUUCACAGCAAAGGAAGUACAGUAAUGAGCUCAAUGUUCAUGGAAUUAAGUGAUCUUACCACAUUUCUCAUCACCUGGAAGCAGAUGCCUAUUUGAAACAUGGACUGACUUACUAAAGACUCACAGCAACACUUGGCAGACAAUACCCUGAAACAAUGGGGAUCUAUCUUACAAGCUUUGAGCUCUGCUGGUUUGGAGGACUUUGUCUCCAAAGGAAGAUUGUGUCCACCAGUGAACACAGCAAUGGUUUCAUUGACUUGGAAGACAAGAAUGCCACCUAGCCAUUUGGGGCUUUAUAUGACACUGAACAAAAAAGCCAAACAAAAGGAUUAUAAUAGUUCCCCCUAUCCACUUAUUUAUGGCUUCACUUCUCAAAGUUUCAGUUUCCCACAGCCAACUGUGGUCUGAAAAUAUUAAAUGGAAAAUCACAGAAAUAAACAAUUCAAGAAUUUUAAAUUGCA